GACGAACGCUGGCGGCGUGCCUAACACAUGCAAGUCUAAGGAGAAAAGGGUAGCAAUAUCCUGAGUAAACUGGCGCACGGGUGAGUAACACGUAGGCAAUCUGCCUUUAGGACGGGAACAACCACGCGAAAGCGUGGCUAAUACCCGAUAAUGCAGCGGCACCGCAUGGUGACAGUUGUUAAAUCCCGCAAGGGGCCUAUUGAUGAGCCUGCGUCCCAUUAGGAGUUGGUGAGGUAACGGCUCACCAAGCCUGCGAUGGGUAGCUGGUCUGAGAGGAUGAUCAGCCANACUGGAACUGAGACACGGUCCAGACUCCUA
rnacentral:rRNA from 1 species